CUGCAGGCGCUCCUCUCUGUCUCAGCUCCCCCUGGUGGACAGAAGAGUGAAGGUUCCUCACACUUUCUCUGUUCACUCGUUCACUCGCCCGACCGUGUGUCAGCUCUGUCAGCGAGCACUCAAAGGCCUGUUCAGACAGGGCCUGCAGUGCCGAGAUUGCAAAUUCGUCUGUCACAAAAAAUGUGCCCCAAACGCCCAAAGAGACUGUCCCGGAGAGACAGACCCCAGCGGAGACCCCGACCUUCAGAGUCCAGAGUCGGUCCUGGGUUCUGGCCUGGUCCUGGGUCUUGGUCCAGUCUUGGUGGAAGAGGCCUCUG